AGUGAACGCUGGCGGUAGGCCUAACACAUGCAAGUCGAACGGCAGCACAGUAAGAGCUUGCUCUUACGGGUGGCGAGUGGCGGACGGGUGAGGAAUACAUCGGAAUCUACCUUUUCGUGGGGGAUAACGUAGGGAAACUUACGCUAAUACCGCAUACGACCUACGGGUGAAAGCAGGGGAUCUUCGGACCUUGCGCGAUUGAAUGAGCCGAUGUCGGAUUAGCUAGUUGGCGGGGUAAAGGCCCACCAAGGCGACGAUCCGUAGCUGGUCUGAGAGGAUGAUCCGCCACACUGGAACUUGGACAAGGUUCAGACCCCCACGGGAGGCCGCAGUUGGGAAUAUUUGACCAUUGGCGCAAGCCUGAUCCAGCCAUACCGCGUUGGUUAAGAAGGCCUUCCGGUUGUUAAGCCCUUUUUUUGGGAAAGAAAAGCAGCAGGUUAAUUCCCCGCUGUUCCUACGGUACCCAAAGGAUAAGCACCGGCUAACUUCGUG
rnacentral:rRNA from 1 species